UACGGGGGGGGCAAGCGUUGUUCGGAAUUACUGGGCGUAAAGGGCGCGUAGGCGGUUUGCUAAGUUGAAUGUGAAAACUCUGGGCUUAACCCAGAGCCUGCAUUCAAUACUGGCAGGCUAGAGUUCUGGAGGGGAUAGCGGAAUUCCUGGUGUAGCGGUGAAAUGCGUAGAUAUCAGGAGGAACACCGGUGGCGAAGGCGGCUAUCUGGACAGAGUCUGACGCUGAGGCGCGAGAGCGUGGGGAGCGAACCGG
rnacentral:rRNA from 1 species